rnacentral:tRNA from 1 species
GCGGAUGUGGCGGAAUUGGUAGACGCGCACGGUUCAGGUCCGUGUGGGGGAAACCCCGUGGAGGUUCAAGUCCUCUCAUCCGCACCU